UUGUGGCUGAGCUGUGCAGCUGGA
rnacentral:misc_RNA from 1 species